rnacentral:lncRNA from 1 species
GUGUGGGUUCUGGACCUGUAUGCAAUCACCGACAUUUUCCCUGCCUGCUUCUGAUAUAUUGUUGCCAUGGCUGCGCCUGCAGUAUGGCCGCAAUGAUGAGAGCUCUGUCACCACUACCUAGCUUUUUGUUUGUUUUGUUAUUGUUAGAAGUUUGUUUCGUUCAUGUUGCAGUGUCACUCAUUCAGUACGACCAGCAGACACUUCUGGAUAUUAGAUCGUCACUUGGCAAGGACUAUUUUACGAAGUUUAAUUCAAGUUUAAGUUUAAUUCAACUUUCCAAAGUAUGAGUUCGGACUGCAGUGGGCUAUUUGUUUAUCCGUUGCUUUGUUUACCUACAAAACGGAGGAAGAAGAGACGAGGCCGACGUGCUGGAGUCCUCGUCCGAACUCGGAAACGGUAUUUCAAACCUGCUUUGCCAACCAUUCUACUUGCUAACGUUCAGUCCAUCGACAAUAAAAUGGAUGAACUAAAUGCACGUAUCAAAUUCCAACGGGACAUCAGGAACUGCUGUGUAUUGGCAUUCGUCGAGACGUGGCUCAUCCCAGAUAUCUCCGAUACGGCAGUUACACCGUCGGGAUUCAGCAUAUACCAUCAGGCCAGAACAGCUGAUUCAGGCAAGCACAGGGGCGGAGGGGUCUGUGUUAUGGUGAACUUUCUAUGGGCUACGGAUAUAGCAGUUCUAGCAUCUUUCUGCUCUCCGGUCCUUGAGCUGCUAACUGUAAAAAUCAGACCCUUCUAUCUACCGCGGGAGUUUACUGCAGUCAUUGUGAGUGUAGUCUACAUUCCCCCCCAGGCAGAUAAGGCUACUGCUUUGGAUGAACUGUAUGGUAUUAUAAAUGGUCUGGAGAAUGUGCACCCGGAGGCAGCCUUCAUCGUUGUUGGAGAUUUCAACAGAGCCAACAUGAAGAAAGUCCUGCCUAAAUACCAUCAGCACAUAGACUUCUUCACACGUGGAGAUCAGACCCUCGACCACUGUUAUACAGCAUUCCGGGACAGUUACAAACCCCUCCACCGCCCUGCUUUUGGAAAGGCUGACCACAGCUCCAUUCUUCUCCUCCCCGCAUAUAGGCAAAAGCUCAAACAGGUCAGACCUGUUGCGAGGACAGUCCAUCAAUGGAGUGACGAGAGUGUGGCUACUCUCCAGGACUGUUUUGACACCACUGACUGGCUGAUGUUUCGGGAGGCAGCAGAUGGGGACAUAAAUGAAUAUACGGAUACUGUUUCCAGCUACAUCCAACAC